UACAGAGGUCUCAAGCGUUGUUCGGAUUCAUUGGGCGUAAAGGGUGCGUAGGCGGCGCGGUAAGUCGGGUGUGAAAUCUCGGAGCUUAACUUCGAAACUGCAUUCGAUACUGCCGUGCUUGAGGACUGGAGAGGAGACUGGAAUUUACGGUGUAGCGGUGAAAUGCGUAGAUAUCGUAAGGAAGACCAGUGGCGAAGGCGGGUCUCUGGACAGUUCCUGACGUGAGGCACGAAGGCCAGGGGAGCAAACGGG
rnacentral:rRNA from 1 species